AUCUCUGCAAUAGGAAAAAUAUGGUUGAGACAACACCACUCUAUUUCACCCCGGUCAGAGUUACACUGUUGCAUCCAUAAACAUUUAAAGGACACUUGGUAGGCAUUCCUUUUAAAUGCAUUUUAAAAUGAACUCAGUUCUCAGAACAUACCGGAACUAAAAUUGGCAGCACUGAAAAUGCACAUCCUCUAUGUAUGUACCAAACAAUUACAGCAGUGGCAGUGCAAAUGUCCCCACAUUGCCCUAGAGAUAUGACAGCAUUAGGGAUCAGAAGUCAGAUCAGUCCCCAUGCCCAUCAAAAGUCUUGGCCUUUAUACUAUGAAUAGAUCCUAAGUGAAUGGGAACACUGUGUUAAUAUGUAAAAUACAAAAGGAUUCAAUAAUUAUUGGUAUGGACCAAAUCUUGUAGUUCCUACUCAGGCUUAUGAUUAACAAGAAAUCAAAAGGAGUUUUACUGGGAAAAGAUCUGCUGGAUUUUGCCCUAUGAAAUUAAUUCAGUUUUAAAUCUAUAUUUACAAUGAUAUAUUUAAUACACCGUUUGAAUUAAACAUCCAUUUCUUAGAUUUAAUAUACUCUGCAGAUACUUUGGUUUCAUAACCUAUCAUUUGUGAUAUGAAAACAGAGUAACUUUCUAUAUGGCAUGUGUUUUACAUAUAUGCACAGUACAUUUAACAAAGAUAAACUACUAAUGAUGAUGAUACUGUACUUUGCUCUGUUGUUAUAAUAUUUGUAUAGCAGGAGCGCCUGGGAGCCCCUGCCAUGGAUCAGGACCCUGCUGUGCUAGGCACUGUACAAAUGCAGAACAAAAUAAGACUUCCUGCCCCAAAGAGCUUACCUAAAGCUCUUAAUGUGCUGUACGAACAAUAAGUAAUUAAACAUCAUAGUAUCUCUGAGACACAUAACCAUUAUUAUCUCCACUUUAUACAUGACAAAGUACAGCACAUCAGUGGCAUAGCCAUGAAAAGAAUCCAGAAUCUUGACACCCAGACCUGUGCUUUAACUACUGCACAAUUCAAAGAUACUUCAUUUCCCCACUCUUUAUCUUCAAAAUGAAAGCUUACAGUACUGAUAUUUCUCCUUACACUGAUUUAAAUUAGACAUAAUACAAAUGGCUGGCUUGGCAAACCUAAUUCAGUUAUGGGGAACAAUCUACUUCUCAGUACACUGAUCUGCAGAUAUGACUAAGUAUUAAUAUUUGACAUAAAACUUAAAUUCAGUGCUUCAAUUCAUUUUGACAUUUUUAGUCUAGUACAAAAAAAGUGCAUGUCUUUUUUUCAAUGAUCAUUUUUCUGUUAUCAUAGUGUUUUUUCUAUAUUUUCUUUUACUUAAAUUACCAUAUUUAUCAGAUUACUUAGAUUGGAAAACCAUGACAUUUUAAAUAUCUUUUUUUUUCCUGCUUGGAAUCAAAUGGAAAGGUCUGGGAAGAAUGUUCUUAAAUUUGUAACCAAGAAACCCUUGUAACAUAUUCUAUAGCAUAGUAUAGACUCUAUUUUAUAGGUGUCAAAAGGAUGAUUUGAAAUUGUAACAGACAGCACCAAUAUGUAACAUAUGGCACUGUACAACUUAUAUAAACAUUUUUGUGCCCGACAGUUAUGCCAAGAUCUUUUAUAUACUUCUAUUAAAUAUUUUCACUGUACUAGCAUGUUGUUUAAAUCCAUACUAUCUAAAGUAGCUUUUGAAAAGUCAUUGUAAAUUAUGCAUAGAAAUGCAUACAGACCGAUCUUCCUUUUAGAGGCUGAUAGACAAUAUGCAAACCUUCAUUUUGGUGGCACAUAUUUUAAAAUGUUCAUUAACCCUAGAGGAAAAAACACUAGUUUCCACUUAUACCUAAGAAACAUUCAGACUACGUACUGGUAACUAUUUCUAGAAGGCCAAAUCCUGUGGCCUGCCAAAAAGCCACGUAUGUAGGGCUCUGAGGUAGCAGACCUGGCAUUUUUCAGAGCAUGGGGAAUCCUAGAUGUAGAGGGGCCAUGCAAGGAGGGAGGGAAUGUUGCAAAUUAGGGUUCCACCCUCUCUGUACCACUGUACUGGAGGGGCCUGUGGACAGCUUAAGGACAUGGCCAGCGAAGGCACCACUAUGUGGAUCUAUGGGUCAAAUCCUAUGUAGCUGUGGGGAGUCUCCAAUGGUGAUUUGUGCUUGUGGGAGAGGAUUCUAACUCUAGCCCUUUGCAAAGAUGUGCUGCGUGAAGCUCAUUUACUUGGCUUUUGUGCAGGAGUCAGGAUCUGGCCUUUAUCAAGGCUCUCUUGCUCAUUAAUCAGUCCCCAUGAUCUGACACAGCAUCAGUUCUUUAAAAAAAUACCCCGAGGUUGUAAAUAAAUAAAAAAAAUGGCCUCUCCUUUCUCAUUAAUAAAUAAUCUAGUACUUCUGUGGAUUCAGUGAAAUUAAACUUCUCAAUCUGGUAUCCACACUUAACUGACUGAUUCAUCAGAAAAAUCCAUUUGCUUAUGGAAGCUAUAUAUAUUUUUGAUGUUUAAGUUUUCACAGCUUGAGGCUAUCGAGAGCUGUUUGUAGAAAGACUUCCUGCUAGAGAAUCACUAGCAGAAGGCAAUUAGGAAAAUAAUGUGGCAGUCCUCAACUAACCUUACAAUGGCCCCAGCAAACAAAUUCCAGUGUUUCACUGAGGAACUUUGAGUAUGGCCAAUAGACCCCUCUUUGACGUGUUCACUUGCCAUGUAUUUCUGAUGCCAGCAUGGGAUGAUGGAGGCGGGAGACAGUAAGGGAAGUCAAGUAUCAGGGGAUAGCCGUGUUAGUCUGUAUCCACAAAAACAACAAGGAGUCCGGUGGCACUUUAAAGACUAACAGAUUUCUUUGGGCAUAAGCUUUCGUGGGUAAAAAAUCCACUUCUUCAGAAGUUUAAGCUUCCAUUCUGUGGCCCUAUAUAAAAGCUCAUUUUGUGCCACACUUUCAAAAUGUCACUUCUUCCCAUAACCACACGACUUGAGCAUUUUAGGAGGAUGCACAUUUUCAGUUGUAUGUCCAGUUGUGCCUCUGGUUUUAUGAACUGCUGAAGAGUGUCCUGGUUUUCUACUCAGUAAAUAAGCGGAAAUCCAAUGAGUCAAAUCCUUAGGCCCUUAAACAUUUUUUUUAACCAGUCUCUAUCCAGAAACCCACCCAAUGAAAUCAUCUGGCGUUUGCCUGAGUAAGACUGAGAAGCUGAAUAAAACCUAAAUAAGUGAGUAAAAGGGCCUCAGGAUUUGCUUGAUGAUAGGAGGAAAAGCUGCCAUAAGACUAUUUUCUGUACUGCAGUGUCAAGAUAAACUAUUACAACUACAACUCAUGCACAAACACUUCUUUUAUAAAACCAAGAUUUAGCAGGAAGUCCACUUACAAAAUAGGCAUUGUGAAUUUAGACCACAAAAUUCUAGUAGCUGUCAUCUGAGUUGGGCAUAAAGCCACUCGUUUAGAACAGGAGACAAAUAUGGAUUUCAAAUAUUGUUGUUUGAGGAGUUUCAAAUCCAGAGUUUUGAUUCAGCCCAUAUUAAAAAGAGUGUCCAUUUGUAAAAUUUAGAUCCAUGUUUAGGUUUCAAAGUCCUGGGAAAGUUUGGGAGGGGACAAGAGAGAAUUGGGCCUAGGAAUAUGGUUUGGGCCUCUCUCUAGUUCUCAUCACAUCGUCUUGUGAAUAACAUGAACAUAUGUAUUGUGCAUAUUAUUAGGCCUUUCCUAAUUUGUUACCUGUUUUAAGUGCUCAUCACUGCAAUCAUCUUUGUUUGCAUCUAGAUUCACAAAGCAAACCUGUAAUAAAAAGGAGAGAAAAAAGGUAGUCUAAGGUUUCUUUAGAAAUUUAGCAAACAAUUUAAAGGUAAUUAAUAUAAAUACAUUUCCUAUACUUGUAGCUGGAUAUGGCACCUUUUCAUCGCACAAGAAGAACUGUCAUAAGGUCAAAAGGGAGUAAUGUACUGGUUUGGCAUUAAAAUGGGAGAAGAAAAGGCAAGAAAAUUAAGAGCAAUCACUGUUUCUGUUCCAACACAACGUCUCUUUGUCAAAUUGCCAAAUGUAGCCAUUACACUAGAAUGUAAUGGAUGUGGGAGAAGAGAGAGGAAAUAUGGAAUGCCUCUGGCAAUGGCUAGCGUGAUGAUGCACCUCCACAUUGCCUGCCGCGUGACUCCCACUGCCACAACACAGGACGCCUUGCACUACAUAGCAACUACUAUUAGUGACAUCAGCUGCCAACCUAAGACUACGCCUCUACCAAGCAUGCGGUGAAACUGUCAGUUCCAUUUCACGUGGAGUGGAUAGUAUAUAUUUAGCUCUUUUAUGCAUCAGUAGAAGAAGGAGAAUCAUGUGCAGAUGGAACGCUAAACUCAGGGAAUUGCUAUUGUUGGACCAUAUCAGGGAAUUUCUGUAUUAGAACCAUAAAGUGCAUGUGUAUAACAAGUCUGAGGCCAAGAGAGACAAGGGGUAAGAUUGAAUUCAAUUGAAUUCCCACAGCUUAGGCCUCUUGUUUUUUCCAUUUCUGUGUCUCUCCCUCUGUGAGAAACGUGCAAGGCCAAACUGCUAAUUGUGUUAACACAUCCUAAGACAGAAAGUCUGUUCUCAAAAACAGCUGUAAUUGUUCUUCCAAACACAACACAGUUUAGUAGCUUUUGACUUUUGUUAUGUAUGUUAAAGUUUAAGUAAAUUUGCAACAUCCUGAGAGUUGCUAAAAGUUAAGAAAUAGUAAAGUAAUAAGUGAUAAAUGUAUGUUAAAAUAGAGGAUGUAUGUGAAUGGACGCUUGAUUUAGAUAAAGGAUAAAUUGAUUUAGAUAAAGAAUGAAUGGUCAGAGAAGUGCCAGCCUAAGAAUUACAACUCCAGUCUCGAUUGGCUGAAGAAUGCGCAGAUAGACUAGAGAUAACCGGAUGACCCCCCCCCCCCAGAGGGCAGGCCGGAAUCCACACAAGUGCCUCCCUCCCCCCCAUGGAGGGCUGAAGACUCCCGAAGAACAAGAUAACACUCAGACAUUCAGCCAUCAGGGAUGUGCCACCUGCUGAUUGAUAAUUACCUCAAACAAACAUCGGCAGGAUGAAGCAAUUCCCAUAGACUUGUAUAAGGACAAAAUCCUAUAAGAACAGACUCUAAUGUUGAGUCUGGUUUUGAACCACCCUUCAGGUGCAUCAGAUGCGCAUCUGACAAGGACUCAGCUCCACCCUCGUGUGCAGACUACCUGGCCAGUACUCUGCCAUGUGCAACCUCUAGGCUGGUAACUAUAACAACUCUGCAGAACUUGUAUGAAUGAGUGUGUGAAUGAAUAAGGAAUGGUAGUGAAAUAAUAUUGAACUGCAUAUCCUGAUUUCUGUCUCUUUCUCUGUAUUUACAAUAAACCUGGCAUUUUUGCCUCAUCCCUCUUAUAAGAUCCUGUUGGUAUUAUUUUAUUAGUGUAACACUAUAAGCAUAACACUUUUUAUUUUCACAUUCAAACAAUUUCAGAGUGUUUUAUGGUGCUGACACUAA